AGCUCUCCAGUGCUUCGAAAGCUCGACACAGUGUAGAACGUCAGUAGCGAUCGGCUCAUUACUAGCGGAAACUUCCAAUUAAUCCGAAAGUGACUUUGAUUUUUCACAGUCUCUUUGGCUAACGGAUUUAUUAAGUUUCCUUAGUUCUUCUUUUUUUAUUUUAUUUUUGCCAUUUGGAGAUCCCACUGCGUCUCUGCAGCCUGUUGAAUAUUCGGCCGCUCGAGAGAAAAAGAAAAAGCUGCUGUUCGCUAUAGCAUCUCGAUGGAUGUGAAACAGGAGACCUGUGAUAAGGACACAAAUUUCAUGGAGAUACCUUUAAAUAUUAAGGAGGAGGACUGUGAAUGGGAGCCCAUCUACACUAAACAGGAAAGUCUGAGCAUCAAGGAGGAGGAUAGUGAACUGCAGUCAGUGGACAUUAAAGAAGUUGUUGAAGAGACGCCUGUUAGUAAUGACCAUAACCAUGCAAAUUUGAUGAGUAUUGAGGAAGGCGUUCUUUACGAUGGGUUUCAAGAUGUGAUGGUGACAGGGUUAGACUCUUCUCAAAGCAGGCACUGUUCAUCUCCAGAGACUUCUAUUAAUGUGAUGUCUGAAUCAUUAGAGUCUGAUACAAAGAGGGCUGAGGAAACUACAUCUGUUAGAACUCAGGAAAAUCACCCACCAUCUACAAGGAAGUCUGGAAAAAG